rnacentral:rRNA from 1 species
GACGUAGGGCGCGAGCGUUGUCCGGAUUUAUUGGGCGUAAAGAGCUCGUAGGCGGCUUGUCGCGUCGUUCGUGAAAACCCGGGGCUCAACCCCGGGCUUGCGGGCGAUACGGGCAGGCUAGAGUUCGGUAGGGGAGACUGGAAUUCCUGGUGUAGCGGUGAAAUGCGCAGAUAUCAGGAGGAACACCGGUGGCGAAGGCGGGUCUCUGGGCCGAUACUGACGCUGAGGAGCGAAAGCGUGGGGAGCGAACAGG